UUGCUGUAGAUUACUUCAAACUGUAUUUGGGUACUCUUCCAUAUUCUGAAGGACUCCUUUGCCAGAGGAACUCCUGGGGACAGAGCCACUGUUUAUUGAAAUUUAGGACUACUGAAUUAGCAGAGGACUGACUACAGUAAAGUUACAUCAGCUCACCCAUACCGGCUUCUUGGACUAUGCUAGGAAAAAGUUCAGUAAGAGUUGAAACUAUCUCUCCGGCCUAGAAUACCCCUUGGCUCACUAGCAUAGAGAUGAUUCAAGAGCAGCAAAUUAUCAUAAAG